CCGUUGUGGCUGUACAGCGCCUGUACUCACUGCCUUUGCGACGUCGGUAGAGGAAGAACACUAAGGCAGCGAAAAAGACGACGACCAGGAUGCCAGCGCCGAUGGUGGCCCCAGCAAUGAUGCCCACGGGUAACACCUCUAUAGGUGGGAGAGGAAGGAAUAGGAGUGAAGAGGAUGGCGCCACACAGGGACCCAAAGACUUGGCCACAACAUACUGGCGCAACUCUGGAUUGUGUACAAAGACCUACAGAGAAAUGCUCCAGUUUUGAUGUGGAAGACCAACCCCGACCCCUGCGCCAGGAUGCCUGUGCCUUCCCUCCACGCCCAGCCCUCAGAACAGGCAGGGAGAGACUUACCAUGUUUGAGUCCUUCUUGGUCCAGGACCUUUGAAGGACCCUGUUCUCCGCCCCCUCCCCCGUCACCGUCCUCUCAGCUACUCACAGUGAACAUUCACUAACGUGCUGACAUUGGUGCUUCCGACUUUGUUAUAAACCUCACAAGACACAGGCUCCGUGAAGAAGGAAUAGUCGACGUUCGUCUCAUAGCGACUCUCGUGGGCGUCUUCAAUCAAGAACCCCCCUUUGGCCCACCUAGAGGAUGAGGUGUCAGGGGUGGGAGAUCAGAACCUGGGACUCUCUCAGCUAUAGUCAGGGACCCUGGCCUCCUCCGUAGCACCCCCCCACCAACCACCCCAGUCUCUAUUUAUCGCGUGCAUAUUAUAGCACUCCUAAACCCUGACCCUCUCACCUGUAGCCCAAGAUUUCCGGGUUGGCUGUGGCCUGGCAUGUAAAGAUGACGCGCUCACCCUCCAGCACUGUCUGGGGCUCAAUGGACAGAGUCACUGUAGGAGGGUCUGCAAAGUACGGGAGAGGAGGUCAGGGUCCUUUCGCUCCCCGAGUUUCUCCCUUUCCCUCUGUAACAUGUAUAUUGGUACUACUUUGAUGUGAAGUGAGAAUUCAAGUUUACAAAAUAUCAGCUAACACUCUCA